AUGGAAGAGCUCGACGAGUUCGAGGUGCUCUGGCCGGAGUACUACGCCGGCCACGCCCACGCCGACGAUGACCACAAGCCACUGCCGAGCGUGCAGAGCCCGGCCACGUCGUGGCAGCGGCGCGCGGCAGGGUCUCGGCCGGUGGACGUUCCCCCCAGCAGGGCCGCCGUGCUGUUGCUACGGUGGAAAGACGGUACUGAUCAUCAAGACGACUUGAUGGAGAAGGACGGCGGCGGCGGCAAGAUCAUGGUGCCGCCGCACCUGCUGGUCUCCGGCAGGCGGCUGUCCGACGGGGAGGCCGCCGCGGCGUACACGCUGCUGCGGUCGGGGGUGGCAAGGCACGGCAAGCGGGCGCGCGACCUGCGCCACCUGCGCAACUCCGUGCUGCGGAUGACCGGCUUCAUCGAAGGAUGA
rnacentral:rRNA from 1 species